rnacentral:pre_miRNA from 14 species
AGAGCCUGAAGGUGACUGGGGGGGCCAGGGGCUGCAACACAGGACAUGGGAGCUCCGCCCCCCACCACCUCGUGUCUUGUGUUGCAGCCAGUGGAACCGUCCCCGAUG